CACCCCCGAAAAAGCCGAGGGAAUUAAUUAGCUUUGCGUUGAAGUAGCCUAAGUAGGCUACUUGUUUCAGUGUAGAGUAUCUAUGGUUUUUCACACCUUUAAACACCUUUUCUCUAAUUAUGAAUGCAUUGUUUCAGACUGAACAAUUCUAAAGAAAAAGGAAUAGUGUAUAGCAAAGAAAAAACACGAGACCUACUCUGUUAUAAAGUAUGGCCUACCACCAUUAUUCCACCAAUUUUAUUUUUUCGAAUGAGCAUUGAUGAGGUUAUUACAGUAAUUUACAUUUCCCAAGCACUUUAUUGAAUAGCCCCUUUUCUGUAAUGACAGGCUUAAUGCGAGUUUAUUAGAGUCUUGGGAAUUGGCACUCAUUCCGAUACGGACUGUCAUUCACACAUGGUCUCCUACCUACAUGAUGAAUAUUGAAUACUCCAUAUGACUCCGGAGAGAAAAUAGGACAGGGAGGAGGGGCACCUCAUGUGACGUCGAAUGAUAGCAACAUGGAAAAAAUGAUGAAGAUAGCCGAACAGAAAAUAAGUACACGAGUUAGACGACAACAAAUAGCUGUGUGAGCCCCACAGGCACAGUUGCAAGCAGCUUCCUGGUUCUUGCCCUGUGUGACCUCCGUGCAAGACCAGGGAACGGCAUCAUG